CUCUUAAGAAGUUAGCGGCGGACGCGGUGAGUAACACGUGGGUAACCUGCCUAUAAGACUGGGAUAACUCCGGGAAACCGGGGCUAAUACCGGAUAACAUUUUGCACCGCAUGGUGCGAAAUUGAAAGGCGGCUUCGGCUGUCACUUAUAGAUGGACCUGCGGCGCAUUAGCUAGUUGGUGAGGUAACGGCUCACCAAGGCGACGAUGCGUAGCCGACCUGAGAGGGUGAUCGGCCACACUGGGACUGAGACACGGCCCAGACUCCUACGGGAGGCAGCAGUAGGGAAUCUUCCGCAAUGGACGAAAGUCUGACGGAGCAACGCCGCGUGAGCGAUGAAGGCCUUCGGGUCGUAAAGCUCUGUUGUUAGGGAAGAACAAGUGCUAGUUGAAUAAGCUGGCACCUUGACGGUACCUAACCAGAAAGCCACGGCUAACUACGUGCCAGCAGCCGCGGUAAUACGUAGGUGGCAAGCGUUAUCCGGAAUUAUUGGGCGUAGAGCGCGCGCAGGUGGUUUCUUAAGUCUGAUGUGAAAGCCCACGGCUCAACCGUGGAGGGUCAUUGGAAACUGGGAGACUUGAGUGCAGAAGAGGAAAGUGGAAUUCCAUGUGUAGCGGUGAAAUGCGUAGAGAUAUGGAGGAACACCAGUGGCGAAGGCGACUUUCUGGUCUGUAACUGA
rnacentral:rRNA from 1 species